rnacentral:lncRNA from 1 species
GGCCAGUUGAAGGACCAUCUGGGUGCGGGAGUUUCUCGCUGCAUUGAAGACCAAUUGGUGGCCUUCGCUGUUGUCCGCUAGAUAUAGUCGGGUUGUUGUCUCUUUGACACAUUCCCCAUUUCCAUUCUCAAUUUUAUGUAGGCGACGCAUGUAGUAAAAAAUAUAACAGUUUCAUAGUUUUACGAUCAUGGUCAUUAACAAAAUAUCCAGAGGGGACACCUCCUAGUAUAUUUCGAUCAUUCUAGAUCUUUAUCUGUAGGAAACGUUGUAGAUACAAAUACUGGCUUAAAUACAACGGCAAAGAGAGCGCCGUAGAUAUAUUGACAAUGGACGAGAGCAGUUUCUGAACGGCUGUCAACGCUCGGUGUGCGCACUACAGUUUCUUCAAGGUGGUUCCAUUCGAAUAUUGUUUUUACGAAAAAUGAGUUAGAAAAUUAUGGUAUUUUGCUGGUUGAAAUUUCAAAACACUUUGUGUAGUUUUUGAUCUGCAUUUUAUUCCACAACAUUUCUGGACUGAUAAUUGUUUAUCGGGCCCUUGGCAGCAAUUCAGCGUUCAUUUUGGACGACCAAAUUUUUAAUUGUCUGGUUAUAUAGCACUGAGAAACAAGCCUCUCGACCACCUUGUAUAGAAAUAUUAGCUUAAUCUGGCUUGAGCGUUUUGUCUGUAUGUCUUGUAGUUUCAGUUUGGUGAGCGUGUUUGAGACGCAACCAACUUCUCUGGAUUUGUAGUCUCCUGUUAUAAAUGUCGCAGGUUGUCGCUGUAGUGAUGUUAGUAGGUGUGUGCACAUACUUACAGGAGGCUUAUACACUUAAGAAGAAACCGAGCGCCAUCGGUCGUCAUAAUGAUCGUUAGCAUAAUACAACGAUGACAUUUCACACAUUGAAUUUAACGAAUCGACAAGUUACAAAUCAUCAAUAUACAAACUGACAAUUUACGAAUCGACAAGUUACAAGACAUCAAUAUACAAAUUGACAAAUCAC